UCAAAUGCAGUGUUCUCCUGGGGGCCAGCACAGAAAGUUUAAAAAAAACUCUCAGCAGUCAGGGUUCCAACAGCUUUGGACCCUCCAACUCCCACUCUGAGCACAGUCAGGGCAAAAGCAGCCCUGGAAAGGGAAUUAUUUCCUUCACCCCUUUGCUCGGCGUGGCCCAUCCCAGAUGGCACCAGCACCACCCCCCUGUUCCAACGAAACCAAUUAAAUUUGGAUUAAUCCUGCUUGUGUUUGACACCAAAACGAGAAGUAAAUUCAUGAUUAAACGAAUGAAUCCCUCCUGCAGAACACGGGACAGCCGAGGUGUUGGGAUGUGGGUACCCAAAGCUGCAAUCCCACAGAACAACAUCCCCCUGCCACGGAUCUGAACCCCCAGAAGCCACGGGGCCACCAGAGGGCUCAGCCAGGACGGUGGUUUGGAAGAUUUCACCCACGCAGGAACAUGAAAAUCCACUUAUUUAAUACCCUCUGAAUGGGCUUUGCUCCUUGCUGGAGGUCAAGGGGAAGAACACGAUGGUAAAAAUAAAUAAAUCACCCUGCAACUUCA